CUCCCAAGGAGUUCGGAGCACCGCUGAAAGCGGCCCGGUUCCUGCCGUGGCUGCCCGGCCACGCGUGCCCGUCCCCCGGUGCCGCUGCUGAGGCGUUGCCCCUGUGUGCCCCCCAGGUACAUCAGCAUCCUGCCGGCCAUCCCAGUCACGCUGUACCUGAGGCCGCAGGAGGCCCUGGAGCUGCGGCACCCCCAGGAGGCCUCGCGGUACCAGCCCCUCCCGGCCGACGCCGGCGCCCCGCCCGAGCGCCCCGCGCAGCCCCGCGCCCACCAGGACGUCACCCUCUACAAGGUGGCUGCUCUGGGCCUGGCGUCGGGCAUGCUGCUGGUGCUGCUGCUGUUCUGCCUGUACCGGGUGCUGUGCCCCAAGAACUACGGGCAGAACGGGCCGGGCCGGCGCCGCAGGGGCGACCUGCCCUGCGACGACUACGGCUACUCCCCCCCCGAGACCGAGAUCGUGCCCCUGGUGCUCAGGGGGCACCUCAUGGUAGGUCCGGCUGAGGAAUAAGUACGUGAAGAAAGGUUAUUGGAGCGAAAUUCCUGCAGCACGUUCUCCUCUCCUCCUGGGGCUUGCUGUCUGCAGUUCCCACCACUCCCUGCUGUGCUGAGCUCCAGGGGACAGCUGGAUGUGGCACUCGGUGCCCUGGGCUGGGUGACAGGGUGGGGAUCAGUCACAGGUGUGACUCAGUGGUCCAGAAAGGCUUUUCCAACCGGGAUGAGCCUGGGAUUCCUCCUGUUCUGAGAGGAAACAAAGCUCUUGGGCAUUCAGACAGACGAGUUUACAGUGCUGUGCUGUGUCUCCCAGAAAAGCUGUAUCUCUGCUCCUGAGCCCGCCCUCAAACUGGGACAGAAUUUUUUAGGGGAGGCAAGACAAGAUGGAGUCUGUUGGAUUUGCAGCAGUCCAGUUCACACUUAGGUCUCUGGGCAGAGAUCCUGGAAUCUCAGGAUGGUUUGGGUUGAAGGGGACCUUGAAACUCAUCCAGUGCCACCCCUGACAUGGCAAGGACACCUUCCACUAUCCCAGGUUGCUCCCAGCCCCAUCCAACGUCCCCUCGGACCCUUCUAGGGAUGUCCAUGUCCUCACCAUCCCUCAGUUCCUAAACCAGCCAGCUUUGACCUAAAAUCCAUCAUCUCUGCGGUUCUGCAGCCACACCAGGCUGCGGGCAGAUCCAGAGGCCUUGGUGGUGCCACACUGAGCUGUGCUUGUCCUCCCUUCCUCCCAGGACAUCGAGUGCCUGGCCAGUGACGGGAUGCUGCUGGUGAGCUGCUGCCUGGUGGGGCAGAUCCGCGUGUGGGACGCGCAG
rnacentral:lncRNA from 1 species